rnacentral:rRNA from 1 species
AAUAUUGGACAAUGGGCGCAACCCUGAUCCAGCCAUGGCGCGUGUGUGUAGAGGGUCUUCGGAUUGUAACGCAGGUUAAGUUGUCAGGAAGGGCUUUAGGCUAAUACCAUGAAGUUUUGACGUUACCAACAGAAUAACCACCGGCUAACUCUGAGCCAGCAGCCGCGGUAAUACAUAGGGUGCAAGUGUUAAUCGGAAUUACAUGGCGUAAAGCGCGCGUAGGUUGUUCAAUAAGAUGGGUAUGAAGUCCCCGGGCUUAACCUGGGAACUGCUUUCAUAACUGCUGAGCUAGAGUACGGUAGAGGGUAGUGGAAUUUCCUGUGUAGCGGUGAAAUGCGUAGAUAUAGGAAGGAACACCAGUGGCGAAGGCGACUACCUGGACUGAUACUGACACUGAGGUGCGAAAGCGUGGGGAGCAAAC